rnacentral:rRNA from 1 species
UGGGGAAUAUUGCGCAAUGGGCGGAAGCCUGACGCAGCGACGCCGCGUGGGGGAUGACGGCCUUCGGGUUGUAAACCUCUUUCAGCAGGGACGAAGCGGAAGUGACGGUACCUGCAGAAGAAGCACCGGCCAACUACGUGCCAGCAGCCGCGGUAAUACGUAGGGUGCAAGCGUUGUCCGGAAUUAUUGGGCGUAAAGAGCUCGUAGGCGGUCUGUCGCGUCGGCUGUGAAAACCCGGAGCUCAACUCCGGGCCUGCAGUCGAUACGGGCAGACUGGAGUUCGGCAGGGGAGACUGGAAUUCCUGGUGUAGCGGUGAAAUGCGCAGAUAUCAGGAGGAACACCGGUGGCGAAGGCGGGUCUCUGGGCCGAUACUGACGCUGAGGAGCGAAAGCGUGGGGAGCGAACA